UCCAAACAUCACAAUACCUCAAUCACGCCGCGUUUCUAACCUAUGUGCCUUCCAUAAUCUUCCUUUUCAGAUCGAAACAAAACGAUAAAUUACCUUGCAUCCGGAAACGUCAUCGGCACGAUCGACAUCGCCGCAAUCGUCAUCGCCCCCUUUACCAAACCGGGCGUACAAGCAUCUCCACCAUGAAUCAUCUUGAAGAACACCUCCGAGUUCACGCUUCAAGAACCUCUUCGUUUCUCCCAUGUCCAAGUCAUCAUCGGAAUUGAAUUCGCCGAUCGAAAUAAUCUCGCACUGGAUAAACGGAAGACCAAAGAUGAAGAAAACUUACCGAAUUCAAUGCACAAUUGGUUCUGUCAAGGAAUUGGUUAAGGUUGAAAAUGCGCCGAAUCAAUUAAAAUUGGACGAGUAGAAAAGCGAAUGAAUUAUUUGUAUGUGUGCAGUGAAGUCUUUGGUUGCAGCUGACUUAGGAGUUAUUUGUUUUCAUUAGCGCAUCAAAAUUGGUGAUUAAGUUAGGAAUAUUGAGCAGUUAGUUAUGUAUUUCUGUUAAUGAGAUUUAGUUUUACUCUGCUGCGGUUUUGUGUAACAAUAUGCCAAGUUGAAAAAUGGAAUUUUUAGUGAACGUUAAUGCUACAUGUUGAGUUGAAGCUAA